GCCUCCGUGGCUCAGUGGUAGAGCGUUUCCUUGGUAAGGAAAAGGUCCCGGGUUCAACCCCCGGCGGAGGCU
rnacentral:tRNA from 1 species